CGAGCGUUGUCCGGAAUUAUUGGGCGUAAAGGGCUCGUAGGCGGUUUGUCGCGUCGGGAGUGAAAACUCAGGGCUUAACCCUGAGCCUGCUUCCGAUACGGGCAGACUAGAGGUAUGCAGGGGAGAAUGGAAUUCCUGGUGUAACGGUGAAAUGCGCAGAUAUCAGGAGGAACACCGGUGGCGAAGGCGGUUCUCUGGGCAUUACCUGACGCUGAGGAGCGAAAGUGUGGGGAGCGAACAGG
rnacentral:rRNA from 1 species